rnacentral:lncRNA from 1 species
CAGACUUUGGUCUAACAGGCCAGGAGAAGAACUCCAAUGGCAUCUGCCUGUGUCUGUGUCAGCAUGCCUGUACUACGUCACAAUAAUGGUUACCACCAAUGUCUCAGUCCCUGGAGAGUUCUCACUUCUCACUGAGAUGUGCCCAGAGCCUAUCAGAUAACCCGGCAGGGUCACCCAUGUUGGACAGGUUUCAGAGGAGCUUGUAGACAAAGACAGACUAGGAAGAAGGACCUGGCCACUCACUUCUGAAAAAAUUGGCCAUGAAAACCCUAGGAAUAGCAGUGGAACAUUGUCUGAUAUAGUGCCAAAAGUCUUUCUCAGGGCUUCAGAAUUAUGGUGGCCACGAGGCCGAGAGCUUUAAACACUGCCAUACCUUGCAUGGAUAGCAGCACACUCUCCAAGUACCCACUACAUACAAGAUGGAGAAAGACUUGUUAAAAAGUACCAUUCCUCCUCACUCCCCAAAAGCUUAAUGUCGUCGAUUCAUAAGCACAUCUCACCUUGAUAGAAUACAAUGGAAGUACCAUUUCCACUUUCAUAAGAUUGAGCCAAGAAGAGGUCCACCGAGAACCACUCACCCUCAGGAUCUCACCUCAGAUUGCUAAAAUCGUCAAACUGAUAAAGAACCGUUAAGUUGUUCUCCCAAUUGUUGGAUGGCAGAUAAUUCAUUUUGGCUUAAGAGCCUGGAGGAGAACUUGAAGAAGGAACCAAGGCAAUUCCUUUUCCACAAUGUUGUUCCACAAAAAUCUCUCAAGAUUGCACGUGGUUGAGAAGUCCCAGACAACAUUGGAAUUUUUCAAGGUUGACUCAGCAAACGAUCCCUGAUGGGGUUAGUCACUCAUUCUCUGACCAGAUCUCAUCCAGAUCAUCUUAACUAGAGAUACAGAGACGGGAUGAGAGAAGAUCUAAGCUAAAUCGCUGGUUUACCUACAGCAUUGAUCUCUUUCACCUUUGGUUGUAAGUAGACUGACAACCCUGAUCAAAUUCAAAUUGGUGUUCCUGUUUGAACUAUUCCUUCUUCAAGGGAAGCUUCUUAGUAAGCAGGGUGUGGGCAAAGACAAUGAAAGUUAAAACAUGAAUUUUUGAAGGCUCCUUGGCCAUCC